rnacentral:rRNA from 1 species
UCGAGAAUUUUUCACAAUGGGCGCAAGCCUGAUGGAGCGACGCCGCGUGGGGGAUGAAUGGCUUCGGCCCGUAAACCCCUGUCAUUCGGGAGCAAUGCCCGCGAUAUAACACAUGGCGGGUUGAUAGUACCGGAAGAGGAAGGGACGGCUAACUCUGUGCCAGCAGCCGCGGUAAUACAGAGGUCCCAAGCGUUGUUCGGAUUUACUGGGCGUAAAGGGUGCGUAGGUGGUCGGGUAAGUCUGGUGUGAAAUCUCGGAGCUCAACUCCGAAACUGCAUUGGAUACUAUCCGGCUCGAGGUUGGGAGGGGGGACUGGAAUUCUCGGUGUAGCAGUGAAAUGCGUAGAUAUCGAGAGGAACACCAGUGGCGAAGGCGAGUCCCUGGACCAAUCCUGACGCUGAGGCACGAAAGCCAGGGGAGCAAACG